ensembl:lncRNA
AAAAUGCUCAUCUUCCCUCAGUGAUUUCAAAGGAUAUCCAAGAAGACCGAGGUCUUCAGGCAAACAUCUGACAUUUUGUGCUGGCAGACUUGGUCUGUAUUUCCUGCUACUUCUCUAGGUGCAGGAGAGGGCUGACAAAAAACUCCUCUUCCUGUGCCUCUGUGCAAUGUCCUGGGCAGUUCUAUUGAAUGUUAUCAUCUCUGCUGGGCAUGCUCCUGUCAGUCUUACACAUGGAUACUCUUUUUACCUUUGUCUUAGCUCUACCAAACCUACGAAGCUGUAUUUGCAAGGAAAAUUGAAGAGGUAAGGAAAUAUUUAUUUUUUUCUUAAGUUUUAAUUAAUUUUUUAGGCUGUGUUUGCGAUACUCUUUCCAUAGUCAUCAGCAAGCUUUGAUUUAGAUGCACAGAGUGAAAAGUUAUUCAGACUAAAACAUGUACUGCAUGUCAUAUAUUUUGAUAUAAAUGCUGUCGUAUAUAGUUGAUGGUAACCCCUGCCUAAGCAUAUCCUAUAUCUCACAUGUCAAAUUGGAAGACAAAGUGAAAUAAGGAAAGUACUUGUUCUGCACUGCUUUCUGAGUUUUAAUUAGAUUUGUCAUCACGUGGAUGGACAAAUAUGAUCACAAUUAACUUCCUCAGCUCACUCUCAUUAGUCUUGGAUUAAUAGGUAGUGACAAAAAUGGAUAGAAGACUUAGCACAACUUUAAGAUAAACGGGGUAGUUCUCACUGAAAUCAGCUAUGUUUUCAGGCUCCAUGCAGACAGAAGCAGACAUUUUGACAUUAAUUUAUAAUCCAAGCACAGCAGUUAGAAAUGCAAUGCAGUUGUAAUACCACUGUAUUCUCAUUUCUGUCCUGAUGCCACUUUAGAAAUGAGAAGCAGGACUCUAGACACAGUCUAGACCACACAUACAGGUAAGACAGAGAAAGAAAUAGUGUUCACAGCAUGAUGUUUAUGAAG